CAGUCGCCGCGGGAACACGGAGGGUGCAAGCGUUAAUCGGAAUUACUGGGCGUAAAGCGUGCGUAGGCGGUUCGUUAAGUCUGUUGUGAAAGCCCCGGGCCCAACCUGGGAAUGGCAAUGGAUACUGGCGAGCUAGAGUGUGUCAGAGGAUGGUGGAAUUCCCGGUGUAGCGGUGAAAUGCGUAGAGAUCGGGAGGAACAUCAGUGGCGAAGGCGGCCAUCUGGGACAACACUGACGCUGAGGCACGAAAGCGUGGGGAGCAAACAGGAUUAGAUACCCCGGUAGUCCCUGUCUCUUAUAA
rnacentral:rRNA from 1 species